UGCUUCAGCAGUUAGCACUUAUAUUAAAACUGAACAAUACAGAGAAUAUAAGUAUGGCACCAGCCCAAGGAUAACACACAAUUUUGUCAAGCAUUCCAUAUUUAU